rnacentral:rRNA from 1 species
AGAGCGAACGCUGGCGGCAGGCCUAACACAUGCAAGUCGAGCGCCCCGCAAGGGGAGCGGCAGACGGGAGAGUAACACGUGGGAACGUACCCUUCAGUUCGGAACAACCCAGGGAAACUUGGGCUAAUACCGAAUACGUCCGUAAGGAGAAAGAUUUAUCGCUGAAGGAUCGGCCCGCGUCUGAUUAGCUUGUUGGUGAGGUAAUGGCUCACCAAGGCUACGAUCAGUAGCUGGUCUGAGAGGAUGAUCAGCCUCACUGGGACUGAGACACGGCCCAGACUCCUACGGGAGGCAGCAGUGGGGAAUAUUGGACAAUGGGCGCAAGCCUGAUCCAGCCAUGCCGCGUGGGUGAUGAAGGCCCUAGGGUUGUAAAGCCCUUUCGGCGGGGAAGAUAAUGACGGUACCCGCAGAAGAAGCCCCGGCUAACUCGCGCCAGCAGCCGC